rnacentral:lncRNA from 10 species
GCUUUCCUCCCACCCGGAUCUAGGCGCGCAGGGGCCAAGCAGGGACGCAGCCCAGUGGCUCCAGCCACGCCGUCCUGCCCCCUUCUGCAGAAACUGAUGCUCUGAGAGGCCAAGCAGUUUGCCCAAGAUUACACAGUCAUAGCCGUGCCUGGGAGAACCUUCUCUUCAACUCUGCCGCACCACUGUCAAGCUCACCUUUCUUCUAAGGUUUUAUUUUAGAGUUAACAUCCUCCAAAAAGCCUUCCUCAGGAGUUGAAGGUGCCCCUAAUAUCACAGCCAUGGCAUCCUGUACACUGGACCUUAUUGUCUGUCUGCCUGUUGUACCUUGUAUGAGUCUAUAAGCAAAACCUAUAAGAAGCCACAUCUGGCUAUUCUAUGUACUCAAAAAAUAAUUGGCAAGUGAAAGAAUGAGGAAAAGGAGAAAAAAUUCAGAAGGCCCCUACCCCUUCCAAUGGGUCAAGUCAGGAAUUUCCUACCUGCAUGUGAUUCCCUGUGUCCUAGAGGGUUUUAUUUACUCCUCAGACCUUGGAAACUGUUAACCAGAGUCUCUGUUUGGAGAUCUUAUCUGUGUGCUUCUCCAUGGGUGUUGUUUCCCUGUCUCUGCAGCCAUGCAUUCCUCAGCUCUUUAAGUGGUGGAGCCUGUCUGCCUGGAUAGAGUGCAAAAGCUACAGUGUAAUCUUGCUUUCUUUCAGGGCCACUGACCAGAGGAAAUAAAAACUGGACUGAUUGGGCUCUCCUGAUGUAGACCAGCCAGUGGCCCUCUAAGUUUCCUUCUAUGUUUAAAAUUCCUUAUCUGACAUUGCUAGCUGAUCAGCAGGCCCACAGGUCAGCUGAGGGCUUAUCUCCAGGGCUGGAGCUUCAAAGAGAUACAUGCACACGACUCCCCUGGGUCAGAUGGGCUGUGUCACAGUGAGUUGGGGAUAAUUUGGGAUCAGUCAACAUAACACACAUAACACAACCCAUUAAUUUUUUUUUUCAAAAAGCGAAGUUUAUUUUACUUUUUCCCAUUAUGAAAGUCAUCAAUGCUCAUUAUAGAAAAUUUGGCAAAUAACAAAAAGUGGAAAGAAAAAAAUUCCUUAAUAAUUUAGUAUAUUUGAUAUAUUCAUCCUUAAUCCUUAAUCUUUUACUAUGUUAUAUCUUUAAUAGUUGUGAUGAUAUACUUUUUGUAAUAAAUAUAUAUUUGUGUUGUGGCUUUUUUAAAAUUUAAAAACAUAACAAAUAUUUCCCCAAAUUUCUAUAUUGUUUGGGUAAACAAUUUUAAUAGCUGCAUAAUUGUUUAUAUAUAGCAUAGUUUAUUUAACUGUUUACUCGCUGUUAAGUAUUUAGGUAGUUUUCAAUAUUUUUCUUUCUUUUUUUUUUUUUUUUGUGAUGGAGUCUUGCUCUGUUGCCCAGGCUGGAGUGCAGUGGCACAGUCUGAGCUCACUGCAACCUCUGCCUCCCCAGGUUUAAGCAAUUCUGCCUCAGCCUCCCGAGUAGGUGGAAUUACACGUGCCUGCCACCAUGCCUGGCUAAUUUUUUGUAUUUUUAGUAGAGAUAGGGUUUCACCAUGUUGGCCAGACUGGUAUCGAACUCCUGACCUCAGGUAAUCCACCCACCUUGGCCUCCCAAAGUGCUGGGAUUACAGGCAUGAGCCACUGCAACUGGCCAGCCCCAUCUUCUUUUGUGCUGGCCUUACAAAGCUUUAUAGCAUGGUAAGAGGCAGUGGUAUAGUGGUUAAGAGAAAGAAAUAUAGCAUCAGACACACUUAAGUUUGUGUGCGUCUCAGCUUUGCUAUUUGUCUGACCUUGGUGAACUUACUUCCCUGAGAUUCACUUUUCGUAUUUCUAAAAUAAAAUAGGAGUAGCAAUAACAGUACCCGCAACAAUCCAAAUAUCCAUUACCUGAUGAAUGGACAAACAAAAUAUGAUACAUUCAUACAAUGGCAUAUUACUCAAUUAUUAAAAGGAAGUAUGAUAGGCCGGGCGCGGUGGCUCACACCUGUAAUCCCAGCACUUUGGGAGGCCGAAGCAGGUGGAUCACCUGAGGUUGGGAGUUCGAGACCAGCCUGACCAACAUGGAGAAACCCUGUCUCUACUAAAAAUACAAAAUUAGCUGGGCGUGGUGGUGCGUGUCCGUAAUCCUAGCAACUCGGGAGGCUGAGGCAGAAUUGCUUGAAUCCGGGAGGCAGAGGUUGCGGUGAGCUGAGAUCGUGCCAUUGCACUCCAGCCUGGUCAACAAGAGCAAAACUGUCUAAAAAAAAAAAAAAGGAAGUAUGAUAUAUACCACAAUAGAGAUAAACCUUGAAAACAUUAUGCUAAGUGAAAGAAGCCAGGCACCAAAGAUCAUAUAUUUUAUUCCAUUUAGAUGAAAUGUACAGAAUAGGCAAAUCUAUAGAGACAGAAAGGAGAUUAGUGGUUGCUUAGAGUUUGGGAAGAUGGGGAAAGUGAGGGAUGAUAACUAAAGAAUAUGAAGUUUCUAGUUAAGACUUGCAUGGUUUACACUGAUUGAUGGUGCUAAAGUUGUGUGCCUGCAUCUUUGUUGCAAGGGAGACUGGGAAUUUGAGUUCAAUUUUUCUAAAUUGAGAAAUUUGCCACUUAAAUAUGAAAAUUUUAGGCCAGGCACAGUGGCUCAUGCCUGUAAUCCCAGCACUUUGGGAGGCCGAGGCAGGUGGAUCACGAGUUCAGGAGUUCAAGACCAGCCUGGCCAAGAUGGCGAAACCCCGUCUCUACUAAAAAUACAAAAAAUUAGCCGGGCGCGGUGGCAGGCGCCUGUAAUCCCAGCUACUCGGGAGGCUGAGGCAGGAGAAUCGCUUGAACCCGGAGGGGCGGAGGUUGCAGUGAGCCGAGAUUGCGCCACUGUACUCCAGCCUGGGCAAUAGAGUGAGUGAGACUCCAUCUCAAAAAAAAGAAAAGAAAAAAAGAAAAAAGAAAAUUUCUCCUAACAUAGAAACGUUAAUCAAAAGACAAUGGGCAGUCGUGACUAUAGUCAGAUGCCUACAACAAGGACAAAGCAUAGACUCCUAGAAAACCCAGCAUCAUAGGGGCCAACAGGGGAAGAGGAUCCAGAGAAGAGUACAGAGAAGGCAAGGUAGCAGUAUAGAUGGAAAGAAAAUCCAAAAAGAAAAAAAAAUCAGAAAGAGGAUUAAAUAAUUUUAAGGAGGGAGUUAUCAAGAGUGUUAGUAUUAUACAUAGGUCAAUCAAAUAAAGGCUGAGAAUUAUCCAUUGGUGUUAGCCAUUAGGAGGUCAUUCAUAUCUUUAGUAUGACUAAUUUCAGUGGGCUAAAAUGGAAAUGGGAGAUGAUGACAUGAAAACAUACGGUAUCUGAAGACCUGGGGAUCUAAUCUCAACAUGUAGGUGUUGUAAUAAACAUCAUCAUUUUCAAUCCUUGUAAAGCCUUAUGAGGAAGGGACUAUUAUUACCCCCAUUUUACAGAUGACCUAACAGACUUUGAGAUGAAAGGUCACAUAGGGGCAACUCUGGGUUUCACAACCAGACUUGUCUGACAUCAGAGUUAGAAAGAACUCAACCACUAGAUCACACUGCCAAUGCUUUAUAAUAGCUGUGGGUUUUAGGACAAUCCCCAGAAUUAGAGAUUCUCAGAAUGGGAAGGGAUUUGAACUGGGUUCCUUUUGGUUCUGAUUCAGUGGUUUUCUUAGAUCUGCAAAGCCAGAAUAUGUCUCUACCCUUGUCUGCUCAUUAUAUUAUGUUUAUUCCUCUUUUAUAUUUGGUUUUGAAUCCAUUUCUUCCUCUCUGAUUUCUUUUUAUUUUUCUUUUUUAAUAGAGGUAGGGUCUCACUAUGUUGCCUAGGCUGGUCUUGAACUCCUGGGCUCAAGCGAUCCUUCCACCUUGGCCUUUCAAAGUACUGAGAUUACAGGUGUGAUCCACUGUGCGCAGCCUUUUUUCUUUUUUCUCUGAGGAAUCACCAAUUAUCUCAACCUUGGUCCAUUUGCUUUUAUAAAUGCUAACCUCAGCUCUGUCUCCAGGGUUGGUCAAGUCACUCAGACUUGUCCAGUUAGAACAUGACAUUCCUUUGGCCACUGUGAUAAGUUCAGUGUAUCAAUCAAAUUCAGGCCACUGUAAGUCCUAUCCAAGACUUACAUCAUACUAUUGGGGAAGAGAAGUUCUAUUUUCUGUCAUAAUUAAAUCAGGGAAUACAUAGAGCUAGAGCUGUAGGAACCACCACAUAGAGUGAGGGCUACACUUUGGAGAGCAGAUGCAGAAGGUGAAGAGAUUUGGGGUCCCAAUGACAUUACUUGAGCCUUUUGAUCAACCCCCAUUUGAAGCCAGACUUCUCUCUUCCUCCCUUCCUCCCUCCCUCCCUCUCUCCCUCCCUCCCUUCCUUCCUUCCUUCCUUCCUCUUUCUUUCUUUUUCUUUCUUUCUUUCUUUUUUUGAGACGGAAUUUUGUUCUUGUUGUCCAGGCUGGCGCGCAAUGGUGCAAUCUCAGCUCACCGCAACCUCUGCCUUCCGGGUUCAAGAGAUUCUCCUCCCUCAGUCUCCCGAGUAGCUGGUAUUACAGGCAUGCGCCACCACGUCCAGCUAAUUUUUUUAUAUUUUUAGUAGAGACAGGAUUUCUCUAUGUUGGUCAGGCUGGUCUCAAACUCCCGACCUCAGAUGAUCCGCCUGCCUUGGCCUGCCAAAGUGCUGGGAUUACAGGUGUGAGUCACAGCACCUGGCCGAAGCCAGACUUUUCAUAAUAUAAGUGAAUAAUUUUUUUUUAAAGGCAGGUUCUUGCUUUGUUGCCCAGGCUGGAGUGCAGUGGUACGAUCAUGGCUCACUGCUGCCUCAACUUCCUGGCCUCAAGCAAUCCUUCCACAUCAGCCUCCCAGGUAGCUAGAACUACAGGCACAUGGCACCAUGCCCAGAUUUUUUUUUUUUUUUUUUUUUUGGUAGAGGUAGGGUCUCAUUAUGUUUCCCAGGCUGGUCUCAAACUCCUGGCCUCAAGUAGUCCUCCUGCCUCAGCCUCCCAACGUGCUAGGAUUACAGGUAUAAGUCACCAUGCCCAGCCAUGAAUAAUUUUUUUGUUUGUUUAAGUCAGUUUGAAUGGAGUUUUCUCUCACUUCAUACCAAGAAAGACUUAAUGCACGGCUUAUUACUACCUACAUGGUGUUUUCUCCCCCAGACGAAUCUUAACUCCAAUCCUGCCAUAUUUCUCUUUAUGCUCUAUUCUCAUCAAUGCCUAGGAUGGUGUCUUGUACAUAACAUGUGCUCAGUAAAUGUCUGAUGGAGUUAAUAGAUUGAAUGUGGGUUGAUUCUGCAACAUUCCCUAAAAGUUGCUUUAGAAAAGCCUUCUGUUGGCCGGGCGCGGUGGCUCACGCCUGUAAUCCCAGCACUUCGGGAGGCCGAGGCAGGUGGAUCACAAGGUCAGGAGAUCGAGACCAUCCUAGCUAACACGGUGAAACCCCGCCUCUACUAAAAAUACAAAAAAAUUAGCUGGGCAUGGUGGCAGGCGCCUGUAGUCCCAGCUACUCCGGAGUCUGAGGCAAGAGAAUGGCGUGAACCUGGGAGGCGGAGCUUGCAGUGAGCCGAGAUAGCACCACUGCACUCCAGCCUGGUUGAGAGUGCGAGACUCCGUCUAAAAAAAAAAAAAAAAGCCUUCUGUCUGUAAGUUUUCUGACUGCUGCUUUUGUCUCUUAAUCACAAAAGUAAUCUGUAGAAGAACUUCCAAAUAUUUGAUCUUUCUGUUUGUUUGAAUCCGCAUUGAACGGAACUUAGUGUAAAUAUGUACUUGGAAUACUCACUACGUGCUCCAACAAAACAGAUUGGAAGAUGCAGAGUGGAUUGCUCUAUCAGUGGCUCAAUCAAAUGAAAUGUUUACUUUCUGCCCUUUGAAAAAAAAACCUGUUUUUUUUCUCUGGAGCAUGAUUCCUUUCACACAAAGCUACUGACAUCCUCUCAAAUUAAAAAGGGGUAGAGAAAUACGACAUUUUUCUGUUUAUUACUGUGAAAACGUGGCCUCAAUUCUGUACCAGAAUGGCCAUGAGCUCUUGCUGCCAUGCCCCGUUUAGGAACACUGCUCUUUGGGCUGAGCUCAUUAAACCUGAAAGACUCAGACAGACAGAAAUACUUUUAGAACACACUGAAGAACAGUGUGAAAUGAUGUGUCAUAGCUGUGAAUGGCUGGAAAAAUCCUGAUUUGCUAGCAUUAAUAACUGCUGAAAACAAAAAGAAAUAAGGAAACAAAAAACAACUGCUGAGAUGGCUGUGUCACAUUGAAAUAGGCAAGGAGAAUCUUCUACCAUAUCUUGAUGACAAAAAAACAGUGGAGGAAAUGCAGUGAGUCGAUUAUAUUAAUAUUUCACUUCAUCAUAACUAUAAUGACAGCUGACCCUUACUGAGUACUUAUUAUAUACUCAGUACACUCAGGCACUGUUCCAAUCAUUUUACACAUAUCAAUAAUGAGUAGCGACUGUUAUUAUCCCCAUUUUACAGAUAUGAAACUGAGGUAUGACGUAAUUACUUAACUUGCUUGAGGUCACACAGGUUGUAAUGGAAGAGCGAGGAUUUAUACCAGAUAGUCUUGAUCUAAAGCUUCUGUUCUUAACCAUGGUGCUUUACUGCUUCUCACAGUAUUUGCACAGAUAACUUAAUAAGCUUGUAGGAAUGUAGGAAUACAACCUUUGGGAAAGUCAUCUUGCAACACCUGUUAAAAUUUAAAUUACACGUACCUUUAUUUUUAUGUAUUUAUUUGUUUAUUUUGAGACAGUCUCACUCUCACCGAGGGUGGAGUGCAGUGGUGUGAUCUUGGCUCACUGCAACCUCCGCCUCCCGGGUUCAAGCAAUUCUCCUCCCUCAGCUUCCCGAGAAGCUGGGAUUACAGGCGUGCACCACCAGGCCUGGCUAAUUUUUUUUUUUUUUUUUGACAUGGAGUCUCGCUCUGUCACCCAGGCUGGAGUGCAGUGACACGACCUUGGCUCACUGCACCCUCUGCCUCCCGGGUUCAAGCAAUUCUCCUGCCUCACCCUCCUGAGUAACUGGAACACAGGUGUGUGCCACCACGCCUGGCUAAUUUUUGUAUUUUUAGUAGAGACGGGGUUUCAGCAUGUUGGUUGGCCAGGAUGGUCUCGAUCUCUUGACCUCAUGAUCUGCCCACCUCAGCCUCCCAAAGUGUUGGGAUUACAGGUGUGAGCCACCGUGCCCGGCGGAUUAAUCUUUGUAUUUUUAGUAGAGACGGGGUUUCACCAUGUUAGCUAUGCUGGUCUCAAACUCCUGACCUCAGGUGAUUCACUCACCUUGGCCUCCCAAAGUGCUGGGAUUACAGGCGUAAGCCACCAUGCUCGGCUACACUUACCUUUAACCCAACAAACCAAGAACAUAUUCUACAGAAGUAAUAGAUACAUACUUCUAUAAAGGAUGUACAUACAAGAAUGUUUAUUGUGAUAUUGUUGAUGGUAACUGGAAAAUCCUGAUGUCCAUCAAUAAAGGUUGAAUUAGCAGCAAAACAAUUAUAUUUGGCAGGUUUAUUUUCAGUGAAUUGGAUCUAGAUCUAUUGACCUGGAAAUAUAUCCAUGGUGUACCAUCAAAUGAGGAAAGUAAAUAGGAAGUUUAUGGAAUGUGAUUCACUUUUAUCAAACAAUAAACAAAUUAUACAUAUAUACAUUUGUAUGUGGUUUCAUGAGAAUUGAGUGGAAUUAGGAUACAUUGGGCAGAGAGUAUUUGGAGGUGGUUAGGGGAAAGAAGUGGGCACAAAAAAGGUAAGAAAGACUAAAACAACACAGAACAAUAGACAUGGAAUAAUGUCAAAUGAAAAUGUCAAAUAUAAAAUUCUACAGUGUUAUUGCAAAUAUGUAGUAAUUGAGUGUGCAUUUAAGAAAAGCUAGACAAUAGCAAGAACAAAUGUUAAACAUUAAUUUGAUUAAAAGGUUAUUUUGUGAGAAAACUUUUUCUUGGAUUUUGCUUAUUUUUUAACAUAUGAACCAUUAGUAGGGGGAAAAAGAUUACAAAUCAUUUUAGGAGAUGACUAAGUCUGGAACUCACAGGUGAAAUUAAGGUGAAAUUUUAAGGGCUGGGCACAGUGGCUCACAUCUGCAAUCCCAGUGCUUUGGGAGGUGAGAAGAUCACUUGAGGCCAGGAGUUUGAGGCUAGCCAGAGUAACAUAAUGA